rnacentral:rRNA from 1 species
AAAACAGGGGUCCCGCAUGGGUAAUAUUUGUUAAAGAUUUAUUGCUGAUAGAUAGGCAUGCGUUCCAUUAGGCAGUUGGCGGGGUAACGGCCCACCAAACCGACGAUGGAUAGGGGUUCUGAGAGGAAGGUCCCCCACAUUGGUACUGAGACACGGACCAAACUCCUACGGGAGGCAGCAGUGAGGAAUAUUGGUCAAUGGCCGAGAGGCUGAACCAGCCAAGUCGCGUGAAGGAAGAAGGAUCUAUGGUUUGUAAACUUCUUUUAUAGGGGAAUAAAGUGAGGGACGUGUCCCUUUUUGUAUGUACCCUAUGAAUAAGCAUCGGCUAACUCCGUG